CUGGACGGAAGACUGACCGCCUCAGGUGCGAAAGCGUGGGGAGCAAACAAGGAUUAGAUAACCCUGGUAGUCCACGCCGUAAACGAUGUCGACUUGGAGGCUGUGCCCUUGAGGCGUGGCUUCCCGGAGCUAACGCGUUAAGUCGACCGCCUGGGGGAGUACGGCCGCAAAGGUUAAAACUCAAAUGAAUUGACGGGGGCCCGCACAAGCGGUGGAGCAUGUGGUUUAAUUCGAUGCAACGCGGAGAACCUUACCUACUCUUGACAUCCAGCGAACUUUCCAGAGAUGGAUUGGUGCCUUCGGGAACGCUGAGACAGGUGCUGCAUGGCUGUCGUCAGCUCGUGUUGUGAAAUGUUGGGUUAAGUCCCGCAACGAGCGCAACCCUUAUCCUUUGUUGCCAGCGAUUCGGUCGGGAACUCAAAGGAGACUGCCGGUGAUAAACCGGAGGAAGGUGGGGAUGACGUCAAGUCAUCAUGGCCCUUACGAGUAGGGCUACACACGUGCUACAAUGGCGCAUACAAAGAGAAGCGACCUCGCGAGAGCAAGCGGACCUCACAAAAUGCGUCGUAGUCCGGAUCGGAGUCUGCAACUCGACUCCGUGAAGUCGGAAUCGCUUGUAAUCGUGGAUCAGAAUGCCACCGUGAAUACGUU
rnacentral:rRNA from 1 species